CCCCCGCUUUUCCUCCCUGAGCGGGGCUCUGGGCUGCCGCAAUGCAGGCAGGGCUUUCGAAGCCCGGCAGCUUUUGCCGGGCUUUUUUUU
rnacentral:ncRNA from 1 species